UCAGUGCUUACUAUUUAUGAGCUUUUCUCUUUGAGUCAGUGACUCUGCAUGAGUGUGUACCAUGAUCUAAACAAAGCUGCAUGGGAGAGUCCCUUGCUUGCAUAUGUAUUGCAUGGACUGUGUCACAGAGGAGGACCUUAUGCAUGGACCUCUGGCAACCAUUCUUGCUCGCACUGCAAGGCAGGGAGGAAACAGUCCAGAAGAUUGCCUUAUCCUUUGUGGAUUCACUUGCUUCUGGACAAAAACCAGUAUAGAAGUUAUUAAGUUCUUUGGUGAAGUAACCUUUUCGUACUGAUAAGGGAAGUGUAUAAUUAUAGUCUUCGUGAGUCAACCACAGCUGCUAUACAAAUAAAUCUACAGCAUUGUACAGAUUGUUUAUGAUCCAACUUUAUAUAGGCAAGUCAAUGAGCACGAGAUCAACUGCCAAACAAAGACAAGUGUCAACUACCCCCCUCGCAACACCAAACGUUGCACGAUUUGCAUGCACCUAGGCCUUCAACUUCGAAGCAGUCAUGUCCUCAAAAGAAACAGUCCUAUACAACCGAACAACACAUCUGAGCUGCUGGACAACCUCUAUACCCUGCCUUGAACAAGUGGUGGUACGUACUAUAUUGGUCUGGCUCUGCGUCUCAGUCUGUCAUCAUAAUAAUGAUUAUUCUCAAGGCAAAUUGCCGAACAGAGUGCCUCAGGGAAAUGCUCAUCACACGAUUGGAUACGGAAAAGCUGAAGAACUUAUCUAAAAUUGUUACAGAAACAGACAGUGGAACACUGUAAAAAAAAAGUGAACUAGCCAAGACAUUGAAAGCCUCUAAGAAGUGGUGAUCUCAAACUAACGCACAAAGUGUACACGAAACCCCUUUCUCUCAAACACCCUGACCUAUCAAUAAUUAUGAUGUAGUGUACCUCGGUGCACUACAAUGUGACCGAGCCUCCAGAGCAAGUACCAUUCAGUCAAAAACAUUAUUCACCGAACGGUAUAGGCGGUUCUGCUGCUAUUGUGCUGAGCACCCCCUCACUAAUCACAAACCAAGGCCCACGAGCUAAAGCUUUCUUAUAGUGACGCUGCAGUCAAGAAUCAAGUAUGUCGUGUUUACUAUAUAGCAUUUUGACCAUCUAUAGACAAGUGCUAGAUCUACGUCUAUAAUUAUAACUUAUAGUAUAGAUCUAUAAGACAGUUUAUGCACGAUACUAGAUCUAGUCUAUAAUUAUUAUUGUGUUUUCUACUUAUUUACUAUUUUUGUC